GAUGAACGCUAGCGGCAGGCUUAAUACAUGCAAGUUGAGGGGCAGCAUGAUAUACGCGAGUAUAUUGAUGGCGACCGGCGGACGGGUGAGUAAUAGGUAGGAGACCUACCUCAUACAGGGGGAUAGCAUAGAGAAAUCUGUGGUAAUACCCCAUGAGGUUAUAUGAAUAGAGGCAUAUAAUCAAAGCAUAAGCGAUUAUGCGGUAUGAGAGGGGCCUACUGACCAUUAGCUAGUUGGUGAGGUAAGGGCUCACCAAGGCGAAGAUGGUUAGGGGUUUUGAGAGAGAGACCCCCCACAUUGGAACUGAGAGACGGUCCAGACUCCUACGGGAGGCAGCAGUAGGGAAUAUUGGGCAAUGGGCGAAAGCCUGACCCAGCCAUGCCGCGUGAAGGAAGACGGCCUUAUGGGUUGUAAACUUCUUUACUAUGCGACUAACUAGAUUUACGAGAUAAUUCUAUAGAAUGUAGCAUAGCAAAAGCACCGG
rnacentral:rRNA from 1 species